rnacentral:lncRNA from 1 species
GUGCAGUGGCAUGAUCCGGUUCACUGCAACCUCCACCUCCCAGGUUCAAGCAAUUAUCCAGCCUUGGUCUCCCGAGUAGCUGGGAUUACAGGUGCCCACCACCAUGCCCAGCUAAUUUUUUUGUUUCCCGAGACUGAGUCUUGCUCUGUCACCCAGGCUGGAGGGCAGUGGUGAGAUCUCGGCUCACUGCAACCUCCACCUCCCGGGUUCAAGCAAUUAUCCAGCCUCAGUCUCCUGAGUA